GAUGAACGCUGGCGGCGUGCCUAAUACAUGCCAGUCGAGCGAACGGACGAGAAGCUUGCUUCUCUGAUGUUAGCGGCGGACGGGUGAGUAACACGUGGAUAACCUACCUAUAAGACUGGGAUAACUUCGGGAAACCGUAGCUAAUACCGGAUAAUAUUUUGAACCGCAUGGUUCAAAAGUGAAAGACGGUCUUGCUGUCACUUAUAGAUGGAUCCGCGCUGCAUUAGCUAGUUGGUAAGGUAACGGCUUACCAAGGCAACGAUGCAUAGCCGACCUGAGAGGGUGAUCGGCCACACUGGAACUGAGACACGGUCCAGACUCCUACGGGAGGCAGCAGCAGGGAAUCUUCCGCAAUGGGCGAAAGCCUGACGGAGCAACGCCGCGUGAGUGAUGAAGGUCUUCGGAUCGUAAAACUCUGUUAUUAGGGAAGAACAUAUGUGUAAGUAACUGUGCACAUCUUGACGGUACCUAAUCAGAAAGCCACGGCUAACUACGUG
rnacentral:rRNA from 1 species